GGUGUGACGCAGGAAGGUAGCCGGGCCAGGCAAUGGAAUCGACCUGGUCUAAGGGUGUAGGGCUGCCGGUAGGUAAAUCCGCCGGCUAUGUGCUUGAGACCUGAUGGGCGCCCACUCGGUGGGUGAUCCGGUGAUCCUAUGCUGCCAAGAAAAGCAUCGGCGCGAGGUUCAAACUGCCCGUACCCUAAACCGACACAGG
rnacentral:rRNA from 1 species